UAUAUAUAUAUAUAUAUAUAUAUAUAUUUAUUUAUUACAACCAAAGCCUUCAAUGGCAUUGUGCAGAUUUGUAAAUUUCUCAUGUCACCUGCCUUCCAUCCUCCAUCUCUUAGGAAAUGGCUCCAUAAAUUAUUGUGACCAAAAAAUAAAAAAUCAUCAGGUGAUUAACCUGCCAAUGAUGCUCCCCUUCAAACAGAACCAGGUCAAUCUUUAAGAAAAAGACAGAGAUUCCAUUACCAGACCCAGACUCAAAGCCACUUCAGUUUGGGAAACAACAACAAAACAACAGAUAGGAGAGAGAGAGAGAGAGAGAGAGAGAGAGAGAGAGAAGAGGAAUUUAGCAGAAGAGAGCUGCUGAUGAACACUUUGGGAAUUUCAGGUAGUUUACAGAGGAAAAAAUUUCAUUUGGGCCUUUUUGGGAAACCCCAACACAUCCAUGAGUAAAGAAGUUCAUUCUGGAACAUAACACCUUUCUCUGGGGAACUGAGGCUGGAAGGACCUGGAUGGUAGGAGGGGCACAUGUGAAUUUGGGAAAGUGUUCAGUUUUAGGAUCCUAUAAAGAACUUAACUCAUGACAUGUUCAUGAAUGUUGGAAGGUCCCAUUCUUUCUUUCUACUCAGGGCUGUUUUAUUUUUAAAACCUGUGGUUUUAACUGCCAACAACAGUUGAAUGAGUACAUUUGCGUCACAGAAAAUUGUCCUUGGUUUUAAAGGUAUCUGUUCCAGAUUUGAUUUUCCUCUUUUGAUACUAGACUAGUUCUUGAGGGUCCCUGAGAUUGAUUUUUUCUAUUUCUUCCAGGCUAUAUCUCCUGGGUUGCCCCUAGCUUUCCUAGGAAGGUGAAUCCUUGAGUUUAGCUCUUAACUUCCUUUACCUUAAGUCUCUUAGGGCCCUCAUCCACAGUAGGUUUUGGUAGGGAUCAUGAGAUCUGAGUGCAGAGGGAGUCCUCCUCAUAAGAAAAGCAGCAAGAAAACCUACUUCCAUGAGCAUGGUCCUUUAUUUCUAAUUUCCCCAAGUCACUGCCCCAUUGCUCAACAAACUUGCAUCUGUUUGUCCUCAAAAUCACAAAAUUUAAAAAUGUUUUAAAAAAUGCAGUCCCACUGGAGGAUAUGCAUUGAUCCACAGCAGAUGCAACUGGACAUAUCUUUGGGACAUGUACAAAUUCACAUGCCUCUUCUUGCCCCAUAAUGUGGUCCAUGUGAUCCCAGAGCAGGGGUCCCUUAGUGGAAGAGGAUGUUCCAUCCAAGCUGAACUGCACCAAUCUUUUGUUACAUUACUUGUGGCUCAGAAGAAAGUGCUUCAGAAAAUCUUAAAGUAGUACAUUCAAAUGCAUUUUUUGUGGCCAGAAAUCUUGAAGCUCUUUCCCUCCCAUAUUCAUUCAUUUAUUUUUUAAUUUAGAUUGUUUUUAACUAGGUGAAAGGAAAGAUUUUUUGCUUCAAUUGCUACCUAGCCUUAAUCAUUGAAUGAAUGUAAUUUCAAUCAAACUGAGACCUGUUGAAGACAUUAGUUUAAAAAGGCCAAGGUCUCUUAUUUUAUCCAGGCCUUCUCCAAUUAUCUUCAUCUAUAUCUGGUCAUUGGACCCAAAUGGCUUUGGAGGGGAAAGGGAGGCAGGCUACUUUGCCCAGUCCUCCUUCACUUUAAUCCAAUUCACCUGAAUAUCAUGGUAUCAUCUCCCUGAUGUCAUGGUCCUCUUCAAGAAUAAAGCACAAACAACAACCACAACUAUCUUAUUAUUAUUAUUAAUUAUUACUAUUUUGCAGCCCAAUUCAUUCAUUAUUCUCCACCCAUGACAAGUGGUCACCCACCCUAUUUAAAAAUCUUCCAAACUCCUUUUAGAUUGUUUUAAUUCUUGAAAAGGUUCUUUUUUUUUCUGUUGAUCUGAGCAUCUAUUUCCCAACACUAGUUUCGCUUAAGUCAUAGCUCCAUCACUAACUUACUAUGUUAUCUUGGACAAUUCACUUCCCCUCUUAAGGCCUCACUUCCAAAUUCUCUAAAAAGAGAGGGUUAGAUUAGAUCAGAGAUUAAAAACUUUUUUUUUUUUUUUGUUUCAUUCUUAUGCCUUUGACUGUGUAAUGAAGCCUGUGGUGUUUUUCUUAAAAAUACUGGUUUUAAGUUCAUAAAAUAAAAAUGCACAGGAUUACAAGGGAAACAAAUUAUGUUAAGAUAUUGUUAUCCAUUCAAUUAAUGAGAAAUUAGGAGAGGGACUUGCGCUUCAGCAUAGGAAAUAAAAUGCUGUCUUUUAGAGUUUCAAAGGUAUAUAUACUAACCUAAGCACCCAUUCUUACAAGAAAGUAAAACAAGGAAAGAGGAGCCAAGAUGGAACUUGCCAAAUCUCUCCCCCAAACUGCUCCAAAUUCCUUUAAAUAAUGACUCUAAACAAAUUUGGGGGUAUCAGGACACCCCAAAAAUGGAGUAGAAUAUUUUCUAGCCGCAGGCAACUUAGAAGCUCAGCAGAAAAGGUCUGUGACACUAGGGUGCAAGUCCCAGCCUGGCUUGGGCUGACCUCUGAAUCAGUGGCAGAUCUCUCAGCCCAGAGACACCAAAGAGGAGCUGCAAGGUCAGCAGAAAAGAGCUGUGCCACCAGAGUGGGAGCCUACCAGAGAAUAUCAGCACAGGCUUAGUCCUGGCCCCAGCUCUGACCUGGACCCCAGCACCAGUGAGGUGGGACCUCUGAAUCAGCAGCAGUGCUGGAGGUUCUGGACCUCUCAGCCUGGGGACAUCAGGGAAAACUCAAAAGGUCAGUGGAGAGGAGUCUGUGACAUUGAGAUGGGAGUCUGGAGUGCAGUCCUGGUUCAGCCCUGACCAACAGAGCCCCAGCUCCUGGCCAGCACACUAGAUCUUACAACUGCAGUGGGACAGAGACCUUCCUAACAGCUCCAGGGCAGAAAAGAGGGCUUGUGGUCAGACUCCUAGAAGGAUCUCUGAAACAGAUGCACAAAACCCUGAAGCUUGGGACAGUGCACCCUCCAUCCUGGAAACAGAGAGUUAAAAGUAGAAUAAUAGGCUAGGAGAAUUGAGUAGAAAACAAAAAAAAAAAAAGUUUUUGACUAUUGAAAAUUAUUAUGUUGACCAGGAAGAUCAAAACACAGAAAAUAUAAACUCAGAAGAUAACAAAAGUCAAAGCUGCUACAUCCAAAGCCUCCAAGAAAAAAUAUAAGAAUUGGGCUCAGGUCAUGGAAGAGCUAAAAAGGACUUUGAAAAUCAAGUAAGAAAUAGAGAAAAAAUUGAGAGAGGUGCAAAAGGAAAUACAAAAAGCUAAUGAGGAGAAGAAUGCCUUAAAAAGCAAAAUUGGCCACUUGGGAAAGGAGGUACAAAAGCUCAUUAAGGAAAAUAAAUCCUUAAAAAAUAGAAUUGAGCAAAUGGAAGCGAAUGACUUUGUGAAAAAUUAAUAUACAAUAAAAACAAAAGAAAAAAUGUGAAACAUCUUAUUGCAAAAACAACUGACCUGGAAAAUAGAUCCAGAAGAAAUAAUAUAAAAAUUAUUGGUCUACCCGAAAGUCAUGAUCAAAAAAAGUCUGGACAACAUCUUUCAAGAAAUUACCAAGGAAAACUGUCCUGAUAUUCUAGAACUAAAGAGCAAAAUAGAAAUGCAAAGAAUCCACCAAAAAUCCUCUGAAAGAGAUCUCAAAAUAAAAACUCCCAGGAAUAUUAUUUCCAGAAAUUCUAGAACUCCCAGCCAAGUCAAGGAGUAUUGUAAGCAUCCAGAAAGAAACAAUUCAAGUAUAAUGGAGCCACAGUCAGAAUAACACAAGAUUUAGCAGCUUCUACAUUAAAAAACCAGAAGGUUUGGAAAAUGAUAUUCCAGAGAGCAAUGGAGCUAGGAUUGCAAUUAAGAAUAACCUACCCAGAAAAACUGAUUUAAUCUUUCAAAGGAAAAGGUAGUCAUUCAAUGAAACAGAGGACUUUCAAGCAUUUGUGAUUAAAAUAUCAAAGCUGAAUGAAAAUCUGAUUUACAGAAACAUGACUCUGGAGAAGUAUAAGGAAGUAAUCUGAAAAGUAUUAUCAUAAGGGAUUUAAUACGGUUUAUCUGUUUACAUUCCUACAUGGGAAGAUGAUGCUUGUAACUCAUUAGAAUGUUCUCAUUAUUAUGGCAGAAGGACUAUAUAUAGACUUCGCAUGGAUGUGAAUUGAAUAUGAAGGGAUAAUAUCUUUUUUUAAAAAUUAUGAAAUUAAAGGGUGAGAGAGAAAUGUACUGGGAGAAUGGGAAAGGGAGAAAUCGAAUGGUGAAAAUUAUCUGCCAUUAAAAAAAGAAGCAAGAAAAAGCUUUUACAGUAAAAAGAAAGAGGGGGAGAGGAAAGAGCAAAUGAGUGAACCUUAUUGUCAUUAGAAUUGGCUCAAAUAAGAAAUAAUAUACAAACACAAUAGGGAUAUAGAAAUCCAUAUUAACCUACAGAAAAAUAGGAGGGGAAUGAAAUAUGGGAAAAGGGGUGAUAAAAGAGAGGGCAUAUGGAGGGAGUAGUCAGUAGCAAAACACUUUUGAGUAGGGACAGGGUGAAAGGAGAGAGAAUAAAUGAGGGGAAAUACAAUUAGCAAUAGUAAUUGUAAAAAAAAAAAUUUAAGCAACUUUCUCUGGUGGAAUAUUAUUGUUAUUUGAGAAAUGAUGAACAGGAUGCUCUCAGGAAAAAAAAAUCUGGAAAGUUCUCCAUGAACAAAGUGAAAUAUACUAUAUACAAAGUAAUAGCAAUGUUCUAGAAUGACCAGCUGUAAAUGACUUUGUUAUUCUCAGUAGUACAAUCAUCCACAACUACUCUGAAGAGCUUAUGAUGAAAAAUCCUUACCAUUCCCAGAGAAGGAACUGAUUGUGUCUGAAUACAGAAUGAAGAAUUCUCUAUUUCUCUCUCUUUAUUUUUAACUUAAUUUUUCUUGAGGGUUUUUAUUUUCAUUAGGGUAGGAGAGCUAUGUUUUCUUUUUCAACUUAACUUCUAUGGAAAUGCUUUUCAUAACUCCAUAUGUGGUUUCUUAAUUGUGGGAUGGGGAUAAGGGAGAGAACCUAGAACUCAAAAAUCUUAAAAACAAAUGUAAAAAAAAAAUUGUUUUGCAUGUAACUGGAGG
rnacentral:lncRNA from 1 species